UACGGCGAGUGAGCGGCAACAGCUCAAUUUGAAAUCUGGCCCCCAGGGUCCGAGUUGUAAUUUGCAGAGGAUGCUUUUGGCGAGGUGCCUUCCGAGUUCCCUGGAACGGGACGCCAUAGAGGGUGAGAGCCCCGUCUGGUUGGAUACCGAGCCUCUGUAAAGCUCCUUCGACGAGUCGAGUAGUUUGGGAAUGCUGCUCUAAAUGGGAGGUAUAUGUCUUCUAAAGCUAAAUAUUGGCCAGAGACCGAUAGCGCACAAGUAGAGUGAUCGAAAGAUGAAAAGCACUUUGAAAAGAGGGUUAAAUAGUACGUGAAAUUGUUGAAAGGGAAGCGCUUGUGACCAGACUUGGGCCCGGUGAAUCAUCCAGCGUUCUCGCUGGUGCACUUUGCCGGGCUCAGGCCAGCAUCAGUUUGCUUCGGGGGAUAAAGGCUUUGGGAAUGUGGCUCCUCCGGGAGUGUUAUAGCCCAUUGCAUAAUACCCUGAGGCGGACUGAGGUUCGCGCCUUCGGGCAAGGAUGCUGGCGUAAUGGUCAUCAGCGACCCGUCUUG
rnacentral:rRNA from 1 species